rnacentral:rRNA from 1 species
ACCUUACCAGGUCUUGACAUCCCGAUUGACUAUUUCUAGAGAUAGAAAGUUACUUCGGUACAUCGGUGACAGGUGGUGCAUGGUUGUCGUCAGCUCGUGUCGUGAGAUGUUGGGUUAAGCCCCGCAACGAGCGCAACCCCUAUUGUUAGUUGCCAUCAUUCAGUUGGGCACUCUAGCGAGACUGCCGGUAAUAACCGGAGGAAGGUGGGAUGACGUCAAAUCAUCAUGUCCCUUAUGACCUGGGCUACACACGUGCUACAAUGGUUGGUACAACGAGUUGCGAGUCGGUGACGGCGAGCUAAUCUCUUAAAGCCAAUCUCAGUUCGGAUUGUAGGCUGCAACUCGCCUACAUGAAGUCGGAAUCGCUAGUAAUCGCGGAUCAGCACGCCGCGGUGAAUACGUUCCCGGGCCUU